rnacentral:rRNA from 1 species
GACGAACGCUGGCGGCGUGCUUAACACAUGCAAGUCGAACGGAAAGGCCCUGCUUUUGUGGGGUGCUCGAAUGGCGAACGGGUGAGUAACACGUGAGUAACCUGCCCUUGACUUUGGGAUAACUUCAGGAAACUGGGGCUAAUACCGGAUAGGAGCUCCUGCUGCAUGGUGGGGGUUGGAAAGUUUCGGCGGUUGGGGAUGGACUCGCGGAUUAUCAGCUUGUUGGUGGGGUAGUGGCUUACCAAGGCUUUGACGGGUAGCCGGCCUGAGCGGGUGACCGGCAACAAUGGGGCUGAGAUACGGCACAGACUGCUACGGGAGGCAGCAGUGGGGUAUAUUGCACGAUUGGCGGAAGCCAGAUGCAGCAACGCCGUGUGCGGGAUGAAGGACUUCGGGUUGUAUACCGCUUUCGCCUGUGACGAAGCGUGAGUGACGGUAAUGGGUAAAGAAGCACCGGCUAACUACGUG